UCUCAUGUCUUUGCCUCUUUCUCUUUGUUUUCCUUAACAUUCUUAUUUGUGUCAGUGUGUAUGUCAAAAGGAAGAAAGGCGAAGGGUUUGUUUUCGUACAGAAACUCUCUAUGAUUCAUGUUUCCUCUGCUUUGAUCUGCGAGCUGUGCACAGCCCCAGGAUAAACCAUUUCAGGUUGUCUAAACAAUUUCCAAUCACUGUUUCCAUAUUUAGGUUCUUAUAUGGAGGAGAGAAGAGAGGGCCUUGCAUGUUAACACACUCCUCUCUGAGCAGCAGGGAGGAGGGGAGAACCUGAUUCUAUCCAUUAAGAGUGAAGCCAGACAUUGAUUUGUGCAGACGAAGCACGCAUGCACAAACAAACAUGCAUAUGAGCACACAACACACAUCUGCACAGCCAUAUGCCCCGUGAGGUCAGCUUACUGGCAAACCGAGAUCCCCUGAAAACACCCACCUCAAUCUCUCAUCUCGCUCUCCAAACACACAUCUGCUCCCCAACGUCCCUCCCCCUAACCCUCUCUGAAAUCAACCCAGGCUCUUAUUAGUAAAGCCCACCCACCUUUUCUCUGCUCACCUUCCCAAUUACCCAACCCAUUCUGUACAAACCCUCAAACAAUUCAAAAACUACAGAGCAAACCAGAACAACACUUCGACUCUGAGCCCACAGCUUGAUUGCAUGGACAAACAUAAAAUGCUUGUGUGUGUGUGCUGCAUGACAUCAUUCAGCUGUUCCUCUGGGCAGGACUCCAUCCAACUAAAUAAUCCAGGCCAGCUCCAUAAAGCAGGGAGUGCCGCCACAUUCCCUCAGCCAUGAAAUAUCAAGUGGUUUUAAGUCACCGUAGCUGUCAGCCUCCUUCCUUCCUCAUGCUUCCUCCUGCACUCACACAUGCGUAAGAACUAACACACAAGCAUGCACAGUUAAUUUUUUUCUAUUUAAUUGCCAUUUGCCAUAUGCAAAAUGUAAAGAAAUCAAAAAGGAAACACUAUCUAUUCGCGAUUUAUUCUCUUUCUGUUUGUGCGACGGUAUCAGAUGUGCAGUAUACAUGCAGCAGGUGGCUCCACAUUAACCUUUGCCCACAGUCUGAGCAGCACAGCAAAGCGCAGCGCAGGGCAGGGAUCUGGUUUCAGCCCCUCACUCUUUCCUCAUCCCUCCAUCCCUGCAGACUCCCAUUAUACAUGACAUCAGAGCCUCUCGACAGCCUUGCACAGCUGUGGCCAGAGCUCAGCUGAGCCCAGGAUCCACCCUACCUUAUAUAUCCUCAAACAACACAGGCAACUGGGAUUCUUGCUUAGUGGAGACAUUUCAACUAAUUUUAUAUUUUUAAAAUUUUUAAAUUUGUUUUCUGAGCAAUUUCUAACAUGUCAAAACGUCUCAAUUCUGGAUCCUAAGUGGUCGACAACAGUAGCUUUGCUAACUCAAAUAGUUUAAAUCUACUGGGUCAAUGUUUUCCUGUGAUUGUAAUUAUUUAUUGAGGCAAGACAAUCAAUACCAAGUCUGGUUGUGGUGCAUUAACAGGAGUAAGUUUGAUACUGCUUGUAAGAUUUUUGAAAAUGCAGCAACUUUACAUUUACAGUAACCUUAAUCAAAGUCACAUUUUAAGAUAAAUUUCAAUUAACAGUUAAUAUGAAUACAUAUAAGAAAAAACUGAAUUCUCUUAAUAAUUGUCUUUUUAUUGAAUUUGUGUAUCGCAGUAAUAUUUUUUCUCCAGCAUUUCUGUUUCUUUCACAACCACUGAAGAAUGUUAACAGGUGCUGGCUCCACUUUCAAUCCACAUGAAGUGUAAUGGGCCAAAAGAACAACUGGCGAGAGCACCUGUUUUCUACCAGGCUGGGAAACUGGAUCCCAGUCCCAAAUCACACUUUAGAGUCAAAAACAAAGCGCCACUAUCCCCUGCCUUUUCUUGUGUCACAGCUGAAGAUAAGUACAUACAGUUUUCAUCCAGUUAACCUCUUAUGUUCUGUUUGAUGGACAGUCUGAAUGGUGAUGAAGGAGGUUACAGUUGCAGUUCUCUUAGCCAUGCUUCGCACCUUUCUGGGCUGCCCCACAGAGACACCAUGUGGUGGCAAAUCACAAACCAGAUCCCAGCAGGAACAGCAAACAUAAUACAGUCACGGUUUGGGAAUGCUAAGAAGUCUCUUCUUUAGAAAGUGUUCCGUCAACACAAUGCUCUUCCGGGGUGACAUCAUCACGCACACCCCGACAACACACUGUGACAUCAGCGCCCACGUUAAAGGGACAGUUCACCUAUAUCCUUCAGCUCAAGACAGCAGAAAGGCCAGCAACAAUGAAUAACGGGAGUCAUCACCAACCAACUCUCAUCAUAUCUUACACAAUAAUUCCAUGACACUCCACCUCUCAUCAGGUUGUUCUACACCAGCAACAGCAGCCUACAUCAUCCAGGGCAAUUUACACCAGGAUGUCAGCGCCUCCUGUCAGCCAGCCUUAGCAGGGGAAGCCUUAGCAUUGGGAUGGCAGCGCCCACUUCCAGCAACCACAGCAGCUCCCUCUAGCCAGGGCUACUGGCACAGUGAUUAGCAGAACUAUCUGGGAAAUUGUCAUUGGAAUCAUCACCAUCCAGCACUGGCGAACUUCAACUGAUCAGAUCAACGAACCAUAACAUAGACAAACUCUUACCAAAGCAAGUUGGGAGUAGAGCGAAAACAUCUUUUCCAUCAAGGAAAGCUUCAGUGCCGUUGCUCUUUCAAAGAAGAAAUACUCUCCACCUCUGAUAUAACUGAUGCUAGCAGCAUAUACACUAACCUCUUUAGCAUUGUGGUUUUUGACAGUUACUUCUCACACAUGUCGCCAUGCUUGGCACCCGUUAGGGCAUGCCUGUAGGUCAAUACUGUAGUUGCCAGUACUUCCUCAUAGGAUGCUGAUUGGUGCGAACGAACCAUGGUGCAGACACAAGUGCAUAGCUCGAAGCCUGGCCCAGAAGCUCGUGAUUUCAUGAUCUCGCAAGUCCAGCUGCCUAGCAAGGUUAAGCAACCACGGCAGCUUGCUCUAAUUGGGUAUCCUGGCACCGGGAUGCAAGCACCCCCAGCCAUGCACUGCCAGCAACCACAGCAGCUGACUUCAGUAGGCUUUUGGCACUGGGAUGCCAGUAUCUUGCAUCUCCCAGCUUCACCAGACCCAGCAGCUCAUGUCAGCCAGAGCCUUCAGCAUUGAGAUGCCAGCGCCACCUGCCGCCAACCUCCAGCAACCACAGCAGUUGCUCUAGCAGGGGAAGUUGGCAGUGGGAUGCCAGUGCCCCCUGUCACCUACUUCUAGAAAAUCAAAGCAACUUGCUAAUAGCCAGGGCUCCUGGCAUCUGGAUGCCAGCGCCCCCUGCCACCUACUUUGAGCAACCACAGCAGUCAACCUUAGCAGGGGAACCUGACACCAGGAUCACUCCCUGCCACCUACUUCAAGCAUUCGCAGCAGCUUGCUUCAGCUGGGGCUUCUGGCACCAGGAUGCCAGGAUCUUCUGUCUCCCAGUCCCUGCAGCUCUCGUCAGCUGGAGCCUCCCGCACCAGGAUGGCGGCACCCACCUUUCCUCCACAGCCUUCGAAGUUCCUUCCAUACUUAACUCUGGUCUUCUCUCUCAACCUAUUCCAGCCCAGCACGCAACCAUCACUUCAACCCGUCUACAACCAGACCUCCCGUUCGUCAUCCUAAUUCUUUUAUCUCCUUCUCCAAUUCCCACCAGCCUACGCCAACAGAUCAUAGACAUACGCAGAUCUUGCUCUCCUCAUCAUGGCUUCCCUUCGUCAACCAUCUACUGAUAGAUUCCUCGAAGGACACGAAGGGCACCUCUACCUGAAAGGGUGAACACCCACCUGUUCCAGAGAACUUACACCCACAGAGUUCGCUUAUGCUUUCCAUUGUAUUUUCGACGUAUUUUGUUCACAAUUUCCCACCGGUGGGCAGGAAAUGGAUAAUUACAUGGCCAUCAUCUUUAAUCUGGCCCUCCGUUUUGGAGGCAAUGGUUUCUACCAGACCACAUCCCCUCUGAAGCCACAGCCCAUCUUCAGCAGGCCAAUGAGGACACAUGCAGGGGCACACUUGGCAAUGAGAUUUACUGCCGCAUCCUUUUUUGGUUUCCUCAGACGCUCCGGAUUCACCACCUCUACCAUUCGCUUUGACCCACACCGUCACGCCUGUAUUUCCGACUCGUCUAAUUUCUCAGACAAAACUAGCAUUUAAUACAAAUCAUGGGCCAUUAGUCCUCUCAAGCAUAUCACUGCUACAUUCAUUCAGAUCUCAAAGAUCUCAGACCUGCUUAAUCUUGUCUCAAGUAACUGGAGGCUUUUGGGGGUCUGUUGAGCUCAGGUGCUAGGGCGGAUUCCCCACCAAAGCUUCCCACAAGUGCAACACAAGCAACAGACUGAAGAAGUUCAA